rnacentral:rRNA from 1 species
GAUGAACGCUGGCGGCGUGCCUAAUACAUGCAAGUCGAGCGCGAGAAUGAGGAGCUUGCUCCUCAUAAUCGAGCGGCGGACGGGUGAGUAACACGUAAGCAACCUACCCUUGAGAUUGGGAUAACUACCGGAAACGGUAGCUAAUACCGGAUACGGCUUUUCCACACAAGUGGAAUUGUUAAAAGGCGGAUUUAUCUGCCGCUCAUGGAUGGGCCUGCGGUGCAUUAGCUAGUUGGUGAGGUAGUGGCUCACCAAGGCGACGAUGCAUAGCCGACCUGAGAGGGUGAUCGGCCACACUGGGACUGAGACACGGCCCAGACUCCUACGGGAGGCAGCAGUAGGGAAUCUUCCGCAAUGGACGCAAGUCUGACGGAGCAACGCCGCGUGAGUGACGAAGGGUUUCGGCUCGUAAAACUCUGUUGUUAAGGAAGAACACUUGAGGUAGUAACUGGCCUUGAGAUGACGGUACUUAACCAGAAAGCCACGGCUAACUACGUGCCAGCAGCCGCGGUAA